rnacentral:rRNA from 1 species
UACGAAGGGGGCUAGCGUUGCUCGGAAUCACUGGACGUAAAGGGUGCGUAGGCGGGUCUUUAAGUCAGGGGUGAAAUCCUGGAGCUCAACUCCAGAACUGCCUUUGAUACUGGGAAUCUCGAGUCCGGGAGAGGUGAGUGGAACUGCGAGUGUAGAGGUGAAAUUCGUAGAUAUUCGCAAGAACACCAGUGGCGAAGGCGGCUCACUGGCCCGGUACUGACGCUGAGGUGCGAAAGCGUGGGGAGCAAACAGG